CAAGGAAUUUUCGUCAAUGGGCGCAAGCCUGAACGAGCAACGCCGCGUGCAGGAUGACGGCCUUCGGGUUGUAAACUGCUUUUCUGGGGGACGAUCGUGACGGUACCCUGGGAAUAAGGCUCGGCUAACUCUGUGCCAGCAGCCGCGGUAAUACAGAGGAGCCAAGCGUUGUCCGGAUUGACUGGGCGUAAAGCGCACGCAGGCGGCCGCGCACGUGGGGUGUGAAAUCUGGCCGCUUAACGGCCAGGCGCCAUCCCAUACGGCACGGCUGGAGCCAUGCAGAGGGCGGUGGAAUUGCCGGUGUAGUGGUGAAAUGCGUAGAGAUCGGCAGGAACACCCAGGGGGAAACCAGCCGCCUGGGCAUGCGCUGACGCUGAGGUGCGAGAGCGUGGGGAGCGAAC
rnacentral:rRNA from 1 species